ensembl:misc_RNA Y_RNA Y RNA
GGCUGGUCUGAUAGUAAUGGGUUAUCAGAAUUUAUCAACAUUAGUGUCACUAAAGUUGGUAUACAACCCUCCACUGCUAUAUUUGACUGGCUUUAG